UCAAGAACGAAAGUCGGAGGUUCGAAGACGAUCAGAUACCGUCGUAGUUCUGACCAUAAACGAUGCCAACUGGCGAUCCGGCGGCGUUAUUCCCAUGACCCGCCGAGCAGCCUCCGGGAAACCAAAGUGUUUGGGUUCCGGGGGGAGUAUUGUUGCAAAGCUGAAACUUAAAGGAAUUGACGGAAGGGCACCACCAGGAGUGGAGCCUGCGGCUUAAUUUGACUCAACACGGGAAACCUCACCCGGCCCGGACACGGAAAGGAUUGACAGAUUGAUAGCUCCUUCUCUAUUCUGUGGGUGGUGGUGCAUGGCCGUUCUUAGUUGGUGGAGCGAUUUGUCUGGUUAAUUCCGAUAACGAACGAGACUCCGGCAUGCUAACUAGUUAUGCGACCCCGUGCGGUCGGUGCCAACUUCUUAGAGGGACUGGUGGCGUUCAGCCACACGAGAUUGAGCAAUAACAGGUCUGUGAUGCCCUUAGAUGUCC
rnacentral:rRNA from 1 species